rnacentral:rRNA from 1 species
GUGGGGAAUCUUGCGCAAUGGGCGAAAGCCUGACGCAGCCAUGCCGCGUGAAUGAUGAAGGUCUUAGGAUUGUAAAAUUCUUUCACCGGGGACGAUAAUGACGGUACCCGGAGAAGAAGCCCCGGCUAACUUCGUGCCAGCAGCCGCGGUAAUACGAAGGGGGCUAGCGUUGCUCGGAAUUACUGGGCGUAAAGGGCGCGUAGGCGGACAGUUUAGUCAGAGGUGAAAGCCCAGGGCUCAACCUUGGAAUUGCCUUUGAUACUGGCUGUCUUGAGUACGGGAGAGGUGAGUGGAACUCCGAGUGUAGAGGUGAAAUUCGUAGAUAUUCGGAAGACCACCAGUGGCGAAGGCGACUCACUGGCCCGUUACUGACGCUGAGGCGCGAAAGCGUGGGGAGCAAACAGGAUUAGAAACCCUUGUAGUCC